CUUCAGCCUCCCUCAGUCGCUAGCCCGAGUGGCCCCGCGACCAAGAAAGGCACUCCCUCCUGGUCGCGGCCGAGCAGACACAGGUGGCCUGGAAAAUUGCUAAUUGGGCAACACAAACAUCUUCAGGGCCCAGGACCGGGCGCUAACCCAGGAAGGAGCCAUUACAAACGACCGAAGUCACUAGCGAUCACGCAUUUUCGACAGCAAAACCUGGCAGGAUCCGAACCGAUUCGAGAGGCGCUAGGAAACUCAAGUUCGAUGGCCGCAGUCUUGACCACACUUUCAAGGACGCCUGCACGCCUUCCUUGCGUUCCCUUUCGGGGGACCCACCCCACCCGGCAUCCGGGAAAGCCCCCCCUUUCUCUCCCGGCGGCCAGACCCGGUCCAGCCCCGCACUCUCGGCUGUCCACCUGCGGGAGGGGGCAGCGUCACCCCGCCCGGGCUCCCGGAGGUCCAGGCAGAGGAGCGGCUUGUUGCGGACGCCCAGCCCUACCUGCGGGGCUGUGGACGGCGGCCUGGGCGCGUUGGUGGUCAGCCAUCCCGCGGCUGGCAGCGCUAUGAACAGCAACAACCGGACGGACAGCGGCGCCGACAGGCCGCCCUCCAUCUUGGACAACACCGGCCCGGCGCGGCGGGAGGAUCUCGAAACAGUAGCCUAGGCUAGCUUUGAACUACUUACUGAUCCUGCUGGAAUUACAGAAGUGUGCCACCCUCUCACCUCAACCUUGAUGGUACUUUUUCAUUAGUAUCAAUAUGUCGAUAUACUUACAAAAAAAUGAAAGCAUAACUAGUGUCUUAUAAACUGUCAGGAAUGAGAAAUAAAAAUUUAGCACUUGGA
ensembl:antisense B430219N15Rik RIKEN cDNA B430219N15 gene